CUGGGAAUUUUGCGCAAUGGACGAAAGUCUGACGCAGCAACGCCGCGUGGGCGAGGAAGGCCUUCGGGUUGUAAAGCCCUUUCAGCCGGGAAGAAAAAAAUGACGGUACCGGUAGAAGAAGCACCGGCUAACUCCGUGCCAGCAGCCGCGGUAAUACGGAGGGUGCGAGCGUUAUUCGGAAUUACUGGGCGUAAAGCGCGUGUAGGCGGUUUAGUCAGUCUGGUGUGAAAUCCCUCGACUCAAUCGAGGAAGUGCAUUGGAUACUGCUAGACUUGAGUGCCGGAGGGGAGAACGGAAUUCCUGGUGUAGAGGUGAAAUUCGUAGAUAUCAGGAGGAACAACGGCGGCGAAGGCGGUUCUCUGGACGGUAACUGACGCUGAGACGCGAAAGUGUGGGGAGCAAACA
rnacentral:rRNA from 1 species